ACGGGGGUAGCUCAUUGGUAGAGCAAUUGCUAGAUAAGCAAUAGGUAGUCCAUCGCGAUGGUUAGGGUUCGAUUCCCGCCCCCCGCAUCA
rnacentral:tRNA from 1 species